rnacentral:rRNA from 1 species
AUUAAACUGAAGAGUUUGAUCCUGGCUCAGAUUGAACGCUGGCGGCAUGCCUUACACAUGCAAGUCGAACGGCAGCACGGGUGCUUGCACCU